ACGGGUGAGUAAUGCCUAGGAAUCUGCCUGGUAGUGGGGGGCAACGUUUCGAAAGGAACGCUAAUACCGCAUACGUCCUACGGGAGAAAGCAGGGGACCUUCGGGCCUUGCGCUAUCAGAUGAGCCUAGGUCGGAUUAGCUAGUUGGUGAGGUAAUGGCUCACCAAGGCGACGAUCCGUAACUGGUCUGAGAGGAUGAUCAGUCACACUGGAACUGAGACACGGUCCAGACUCCUACGGGAGGCAGCAGUGGGGAAUAUUGGACAAUGGGCGAAAGCCUGAUCCAGCCAUGCCGCGUGUGUGAAGAAGGUCUUCGGAUUGUAAAGCACUUUAAGUUGGGAGGAAGGGUUGUAGAUUAAUACUCUGCAAUUUUGACGUUACCGACAGAAUAAGCACCGGCUAACUCUGUGCCAGCAGCCGCGGUAAUACAGAGGGUGCAAGCGUUAAUCGGAAUUACUGGGCGUAAAGCGCGCGUAGGUGGUUCGUUAAGUUGGAUGUGAAAUCCCCGGGCUCAACCUGGGAACUGCAUUCAAAACUGUCGAGCUAGAGUAUGGUAGAGGGUGGUGGAAUUUCCUGUGUAGCGGU
rnacentral:rRNA from 1 species